rnacentral:rRNA from 1 species
AGAACGAACGCUGGCGGCGCGCCUAAUACAUGCAAGUCGAGCGAGAAGGUGUAGCAAUACACUUGUAAAGCGGCGAACGGGUGAGGAAUACAUGGGUAACCUACCAUCGAGUGGGGAAUAACCAGCCGAAAGGUUGGCUAAUACCGCGUACGCCUCCGAAUUUUCGGAUUCGGAGGGAAAGCCACACUGUGAGUGUGGCGCUCAUUGAUGGGCUCAUGUCCUAUCAGCUUGUUGGUAGGGUAACGGCCUACCAAGGCUUUGACGGGUAGCUGGUCUGAGAGGACGAUCAGCCACACUGGCACUGCGACACGGGCCAGACUCCUACGGGAGCAGCAGUAAGGAUAUGCGCAAUGGACGAAAGUCUGACGCAGCGACGCCGCGUGGGGGAUGGAAGGUCUUCGGUAUUGUAAACCCCUUUCGGGAGGAGAGUAGGAACGAGACAAGUCGUCGGAACGGUACCUCAGAGCAGCCACGGCCAACGUUCGCGCCAGCCAGCCG